rnacentral:rRNA from 1 species
CAGUAGCCGCGGGAAUACCGAGGGUGCAAGCGUUAAUCGGAAUUACUGGGCGUAAAGCGCGCGUAGGUGGUUCGCCAAGUUGGAUGUGAAAUCCCCGGGCUCAACCUGGGAACUGCAUCCAAAACUGGCGAGCUAGAGUAUGGUAGAGGGUGGUGGAAUUUCCUGUGUAGCGGUGAAAUGCGUAGAUAUAGGAAGGAACAUCAGUGGCGAAGGCGACCACCUGGACUGAUACUGACACUGAGGUGCGAAAGCGUGGGGAGCAAACAGGAUUAGAUACCCCGGUAGUCCCUGUCUCUUAUAC